GCUUUAUGCUCAACAGGGCAUGUGCUGCCCUAGAAAUGACCUUGAACCAAUAACCACCACCAUGGCACAUAUGUAUCUUUUCCAUCAUGAAUCUCAGCAAUAUGUUUGUAUACUGACGGAGUGACUGAGUAUAGAGACUGAGUGUACUGCUGAUUCAUUUGGGGAUUUUUUUUUUUUUUUUUUUUUAAUUUAACCCUAAGAAGUCAAGAGUUGCUUCUCUUUGUCUGUACUUUUCAAAUAUGACACAUUCAGUUAAAUAGCAAGUUCUGCAAAGAAUUUAAUGUUCAGCAUCUACAGGGACAGGUUAAUGUCAACUUUCUGCUUUUUGUUGCCAAAACGUAAAGGACGUUCUUCUUUUUGCAAAUGAGAGUCACCCCUAAUUAAAUUCAUUAAUUUUGAAGAUUUUCUUCCACUCACAAACACAAACAUUGUCUCAUUUGAGACUUCAGAACCUGUUCUUUGGGCAGAAUCUCUCUGCUAGAGUAAGAAAUGAAUACUAUUGAAUUACACCGCUGUUUGUUGUCAAUCAUGACUUCUGAGGGCUAAAGCACUGUUUCUUUUAGCUCAGUGUAAAAGUUUGAAGCUUACUUUUAUUUCAAAAAACUGCUAGAAAUGUAUUGUUUCCUUCAGAGGGCCACCCGAUCACUGUACAACACGUUUUUAUAUGGUGUUCAACUUUGAUCUGCGUUCCCCAUUUCUUAAGGCAAACAUGGGAACAAUGAAAUCGUUGCCUUCCUUUUGUUCAUUUCUAGGGCUGCAUUUAGUUUUCUGUUGUCAGAUUUAACUUUAAGUCUACACAGGACUUUUUAGCAGUACACCUGCUUUUUCCAAAGUUUCUGCAGCACUAGCUCCUGUUUAAUGAUUUACUCGGAUCAAUAUGAGACUUGCUAUCACACGUUGCGUAGCUGAAACUAAACAGUGCUGUCUUUGAUAGCACAUGGCUCUUCUGUUUCACUCUUUUUACCCAAACAUUGUCAUUUUCUUUUGAGUUUUUUCAAUAUGUAUUUCUUCAUAGAUCUUAUACUCCGAUCCAGUUUUACAAAUGUAUUUUACAUGUUGAUGUACUUGCCACAUACUGUUGUUUGCUAAAUUUGGUGCAAUGAAAGUGAACACACCUGAAUUCGUUUUUCUUAACCUUCAAACAUAACAUGGAUACACGUAUGGAAAUGCGUUUCAUCAUUUUGAUGCUGGUACUCAGUAGUUGAUGGAGUGAUUUCUAUUCAGCAAGGGCACUAGUGUGAGAUCAGGACUGCAGUGUCCGCUCCAUUGCCACUCCUCAAAGCUGCAGUCUAAUGCGUCAAACAAAAGAGAUCAUCUGGACUGUGCCUUCAGGUCAAGCUCCCAACCUGGAAAUUCCCAUUUUCGAUUGUGAAAAUUUGUCAGAAGAGGCAAAUCAGGAGAAAAAUCAUCUGCCGUAAGCCCAGCUUUAGGGUUUCAGUAUCAGUAACUGUACUGGACAAUGAAGUUGUAACUUGUCAUCUCUUAUGGUCACACUCCAACUUCAUAGCAUCCCCUCCACCUCCACCACCACCAACCCCACCGCCUCCCAAAAUAUUCACCUACAGUAAUAACAAAAGGACAGUUGGUGUCCCUAAAAACCUCUCCCAUAUGGCUGGGUGGAGCAAGUGCGAGGGCUGAACAUGUCCAGGAGAGGGGAGUCAGCUGCUGCAGCUGUAUAGAAGCAUGAAGACAGCAUGGAUUUAGAACAUAUACAUGUCCGCACAGUCAUGUUUUUAGCUCUUUGUGAAGACUUAAUGUCCUGGAAAUGAUGGAAAGCAAGGACAUAUUGACAUUGUGAAGACUGUGAUUAUUCUUACUACCAAUUUGAGAAAAUAAAAGCCGAACAAUUUCCUUUGGGUUC